UACGGGGGGGGCAAGCGUUGUUCGGAAUUACUGGGCGUAAAGGGCUCGUAGGCGGCCAACUAAGUCGGACGUGAAAUCCCUCAGCUUAACUGGGGAACUGCGUCCGAUACUGGAUGGCUUGGAUUCGGGAGAGGGAUGCGGAAUUCCAGGUGUAGCGGUGAAAUGCGUAGAUAUCUGGAGGAACACCGGUGGCGAAGGCGGCAUCCUGGACCGGCAUUGACGCUGAGGCGCGAAAGCCAGGGGAGCAAACGGG
rnacentral:rRNA from 1 species